UUCCGGUUGAUCCUGCCGGAGGCUACCGCUAUUGGAGUUCGAUUAAGCCAUGCGAGUCGAGAGUCUUCAAGGACUCGGCGUACCGCUCAGUAACACGUGGGUAACCUGCCCUAUGCUGGGGAAUAACCUCGGGAAACUGAGAAUAAUACCCCAUAGUUCACCACGCCUGGAACGGUGGGUGGAUGAAAGCUCCGGCGGCAUAGGAUGGGCCUGCGGCGUAUCAGGUUGUAGGGGGUGUAAUGUACCCUCUAGCCAUCUACGCGUACGGGUGUUGGGAGACAUCGCCCGGAGAUGGAUUCUGAGACACGAAUCCAGACCCUACGGGGUGCAGCAGGCGCGAAAACUUGGCAAUGCGAGCAAUCGUGACCAGGGAACUCCAAGUGCAUCGGGUAAGACCGAUGCUUUUCUUGACUCUUCAAAGGUCUUGGAAUAAGGGGUGGGUAAGGACGGUGCCAGCCGCCGCGGUAAUACCGGCGCCUCAAGUGGUAGUCGCUUUUAUUGGGCCUAAAACGUCCGUAGCCGGUUUGGUACAUUCGUGGGUAAAUCAAGGCGCUCAACGUCUUGAAUUCUGCGAGCACGGCCAGACUUGGGACCGGGUGAGGUGUGGGGUACUCUCAGGGUAGGGGUAAAAUCCUGUCAUCCUGAGAGGACCACCUGUUGCGAAGGCGCCACACUAGAACGGAUCCGACGGUCAGGGACGAAGCCUAGGGGCACGAACCGGAUUAGAUACCCGGGUAGUCCUAGGUGUAAACGCUGUGGACUUGAUGUUGGGAGUGCUCCGAGCACCCUCAGUGUCGAAGCGAAGGUGAUAAGUCCACUGCCUGGGGAGUACGGUCGCAAGGCUGAAACUUAAAGGAAUUGGCGGGGGAGCACUGCAACCUGAGGAUUGUGCGGUUUAAUUGGAUUCAACGCCGG
rnacentral:rRNA from 1 species